rfam:Triticum aestivum genome assembly, contig: Triticum_aestivum_CS42_TGACv1_scaffold_499443_6BL
AAAGUACUCCCUCCGUCCCAAAAUUCUUGUCUUAGAUUUGUCUAGAUAUGGAUGUAUCAAGUCACAUUUUAGUAUUAGAUACAUCCGUAUCUAGACAAAUCUAAGACAAGAAAUUUGGGAUAGAGGGAGUAGUUG